rnacentral:rRNA from 1 species
GAUGAACGCUAGCUACAGGCUUAACACAUGCAAGUCGAGGGGCAUCGGGAGGGAAGCUUGCUUCCCUUGCCGGCGACCGGCGCACGGGUGAGUAACGCGUAUCGAACCUGCCCCAUACCCGGGGAUAGCCUUGCGAAAGUAAGAUUAAUACCCGAUGGUUUCCUUUUAUCUCCUGAUAGAGGGAAUAAAGAAUUUCGGUAUGGGAUGGCGAUGCGUCCGAUUAGCUAGUUGGCGGGGUAACGGCCCACCAAACCGACGAUGGACAGGGGUUCUGAGAGGAAGGUCCCCCACAUUGGUACUGAGACACGGCCCAG